UUUCUGUUCCUGAUUUCCUAAAGAGGGUCUUUCAGUCCCUUCUCCUCACAACGCUCCCUCCACCUCUGUAAUUCCUACGAGAACCUUAUCCCAGGGAUCGGAACAGCACAC